AGUGAACGCUGGCGGUAGGCCUAACACAUGCAAGUCGCACGGCAGCACAGUAAGAGCUUGCUCUUACGGGUGGCGAGUGGCGGACGGGUGAGGAAUACAUCGGAAUCUACUUUUUCGUGGGGGAUAACGUAGGGAAACUUACGCUAAUACCGCAUCCGACCUACGGGUGAAAGCAGGGGAUCUUCGGACCUUGCGCGAUUGAAUGAGCCGAUGUCGGAUUAGCUCGUUGGCGGGGUAAAGGCCCACCAAGGCGACGAUCCGUAGCUGGUCUGAGAGGAUGAUCAGCCACACUGGAACUGAGACACGGUCCAGACUCCUACGGGAGGCAGCAGUGGGGAAUAUUGGACAAUGGGCGCAAGCCUGAUCCAGCCAUACCGCGUGGGUGAAGAAGGCCUUCGGGUUGUAAAGCCCUUUUGUUGGGAAAGAAAAGCAGCAGGUUAAUACCCCGCUGUUCUGACGGUACCCAAAGAAUAAGCACCGGCUAACUUCGUG
rnacentral:rRNA from 1 species